UCAAUGGAGCAGUUUAAAGGACCUUGCACCUAGCCACUGGCUAGUGCGAGCCAGAGGCAAGGUGUGGGGUCCUUUAAACUGCUCCAUUGA